GCUCAGCCGAACGGUGAGGCCGAUGGCAGAACAGGUUAAUAUUCCUGUACUACCUUAAGGAGUGACGUGGAGACGGAGCAGUGAUAGCGCCGCGGACUGACGGAAUAGUCCGUUGAAGGGUGUAGAUGUUGAUCUUUGCAGGCAAAUCCACAAAGAGAGUCGAACCUGAUAGUAUACCAAAUUCUUCGGAAUAAGGUAAUAGUGCGUGUAAGCAUACUCCCAAGAAAAUCCGCUAAACUUAAUCUUUAAGGUACCCGUACCGCAAACGGACACACGUAGUCGGGUUGAAUAUACUAAGGCGCUUGAGUGAUUCACGGUUAAGGAACUAGGCAAAUUGACCCUGUAACUUCGGGAUAAAGGGUCCCAACGAGAGUUGGGCGCAGAGAAUAGGUCCAGGCAACUGUUUAACAAAAACACAGGGCUGUGCCAAAUUGAAAGAUUACGUAUACAGCCUGACACCUGCCCGGUGCUGGAAGGUUAAGAGGAGAUGUCAUCGCAAGAGAAGCAUUGAAUUGAAGCCCCAGUAAACGGCGGCCGUAACUAUAACGGUCCUAAGGUAGCGAAAUUCCUUGUCGGGUAAGUUCCGACCUGCACGAAUGGUGUAAUGAUCUGGACGCUGUCUCAACCGUGAGCUCAGUGAAAUUGUAGUAUCGGUGAAGAUGCCGAUUACCCGCGAUGGGACGAAAAGACCCCGUGAACCUUUACUAUAGCUUAACAUUGAAUUUGGGUAAUUGAUGUGUAGGAUAGGCCGGAGACUUUGAAGCAGGUACGCCAGUAUUUGUGGAGUCGCUGUUGAAAUACGGCCCUUUGAUUAUUUGAGUUCUAACUCGUAGAUGCGAGGACACUGUUUGGUGGGUAGUUUGACUGGGGUGGUCGCCUCCAAAAGUGUAACGGAGGCUUCUAAAGGUGCCCUCAGGACGAUUGGUAACCGUCCGUAGAGUGUAAUGGCAUAAGGGCGCUUGACUGGGAGACAGACAAGUCGAUCAGGUAGGAAACUAGAGCAUAGUGAUCCGGUGUUUCCGCAUGGAAGGGACAUCGCUCAAAGGAUAAAAGGUACUCCGGGGAUAACAGGCUGAUCCCUCCCAAGAGCUCAUAUCGACGGAGGGGUUUGGCACCUCGAUGUCGGCUCGUCACAUCCUGGGGCUGGAGAAGGUCCCAAGGGUUGGGCUGUUCGCCCAUUAAAGUGGCACGCGAGCUGGGUUCAGAACGUCGUGAGAC
rnacentral:rRNA from 1 species